rnacentral:rRNA from 1 species
AAUCAACGCUGGCGGCGUGCCUAACACAUGCAAGUCGAACGCGAAAGGGGACUUCGGUUCCUGAGUAGAGUGGCGUACGGGUGAGUAACGCGUGGGUCAUCUGCCCUCGGGUGGGGAAUAACUAAUCGAAAGGUUAGCUAAUACCGCAUAACACAGUGAUGUCAAAGCAGCAAUGUGCCUGAGGAGGAGCCUGCGUCUGAUUAGGUAGUUGGUGGGUAACGGCCUACCAGCCUGCGAUCAGUAGCUGGUCUGANAGGACGGCCAGCCACAAUGGCACUGAAACACGGGACCAUACUCCUACGGGAGGCGAGCAGUGGGGAAUUUU